rnacentral:rRNA from 1 species
CCUACGGGAGGCUGCAGUCGAGAAUCAUUCACAAUGGGGGAAACCCUGAUGGUGCGACGCCGCGUGGGGGAAUGAAGGUCUUCGGAUUGUAAACCCCUGUCAUGUGGGAGCAAAUUAAAAAGAUAGUACCACAAGAGGAAGAGACGGCUAACUCUGUGCCAGCAGCCGCGGUAAUCCAGAGGUCUCAAGCGUUGUUCGGAAUCACUGGGCGUAAAGCGUGCGUAGGCUGUUUCGUAAGUCGUGUGUGAAAGGUGCGGGCUCAACCCGCGGACGGCACAUGAUACUGCGAGACUAGAGUAAUGGAGGGGGAACCGGAAUUCUCGGUGUAGCAGUGAAAUGCGUAGAUAUCGAGAGGAACACUCGUGGCGAAGGCGGGUUCCUGGACAUUAACUGACGCUGAGGCACGAAGGCCAGGGGAGCGAAAGGGAUUAGAUACCCGGGUAGUC